UACGGGGGGAGCAAGCGUUGUUCGGAUUUACUGGGCGUAAAGGGCGCGUAGGCGGUCAGCACAAGUCAGUUGUGAAAUCUCCGGGCUUAACUCGGAAAGGUCAACUGAUACUGUGCGACUAGAGUGCAGAAGGGGCAACUGGAAUUCUCGGUGUAGCGGUGAAAUGCGUAGAUAUCAAGAGGAACACCUGAGGUGAAGACGGGUUGCUGGGCUGACACUGACGCUGAUGCGCGAAAGCCAGGGGAGCAAACGGG
rnacentral:rRNA from 1 species